AGAGGCGGACGGGCGAGUAACGCGUAGGAAUCUGUCUUAGGGUGGGGGACAACCGUGGGAAACUACGGCUAAUACCGCAUGAUGCCUGAGGGCCAAAGCUCGCGAGAGCGCCUUGAGAGGAGCCUGCGUCUGAUUAGGUAGUUGGUGGGGUAAAGGCCUACCAAGCCUGCGAACAAUAGCUGGUCUGAGAGGAUGAUCAGCCACAUUGGGACUGAUACACGGCCCAAACUCCUACGGGAGGCCGCAGUGGGGAAUAUUGGACAAUGGGCGCAAGCCUGAUCCAGCAAUGCCGCGUGAUUGAAGAAGGUUUUCGGAUUGUAAAGCUCUUUUGGCGGGGACGAUGAUGACGGUACCCACAGAAUAAGCCCCGGCUAACUUCGUGCCAGCAGCCGCGGUAAUACGAAGGGGGCUAGCGUUGCUCGGAAUGACUGGGCGUAAAGGGCGCGUAGGCGGAUGACACAGUCAGGCGUGAAAUUCCUGGGCUCAACCUGGGGACUGCGUCUGAUACGUGUUGUCUAGAGUAGGGAAGAGGGUCGUGGAAUUUCCAGUGUAGAGGUGAAAUUCGUUGAUAUUGGAAAGAACACCGGUGGCGAAGGCGGCGACCUGGUCCUUUACUGACGCUGAGGCGCGAAAGCGUGGGGAGCAAACAGGAUUAGAUACCCUGGUAGUCCACGCUGUAAACGAUGUGCGCUGGAUGUUGGGAGGCAUAGCCUUACAGUGUCGCAGUUAACGCGGUAAGCGCACCGCCUGGGGAGUACGGCCGCAAGGUUGAAACUCAAAGGAAAUGACUGGGGCCCGCACAAGCGGUGGAGCAUGUGGUUUAAUUCGAAGCAACGCGCAGAACCUUACCAGGGCUUGACAUGGGCAGUAACGGUCCAGAGAUGGACUUUCCCGCAAUGGGGCUGCCGCACAUGUGCUGCAUCGCUGUCGUCAGCUCGUGUCGUGAGAUGUUGGGUUAAGUCCCGCAUCGAGCGCAACCCACGCCUUCAGUUGCCAGCAGGUUGGGCUGGGCACUCUGAAGGAACUGCCGGUGACAAGCCGGAGGAAGGUGGGGAUGAUGUCAAGUCCUCAUGGCCCUUAUGUCCUGGGCUACACACGUGCUACAAUGGCGGUGACAGUGGGAAGCGAGGUCGCGAGGCCCAGCUGAUCUCAAAAAGCCGUCUCAGUUCAGAUUGCACUGUGCAACUCGAGUGCAUGAAGGUGGAAUCGCUA
rnacentral:rRNA from 1 species